AGAGAACCACGGACCAGCAGACAGGCGCCAGGUGCCCUGGGCUUGGCUUGGCCCGAGUUCCCGGCUGCCCCACCUACGGAGCACCGAGAUGGGCUGACCAGGAGGGUUUGUCCGACCACUGUCUGCUCAGGUUCUGAGAGUCUGUGCGGGUCCAUUUGAGGUUGGGUCGAGAAAAGAGCCCAGGCGGACACGUCCUGAGACCCGGGUCUGUGAGGCCUGGCCGCGGGCUGUCCGGCGCUGGGCCCCUCUGGCCAGUUGGCCCCAAGACGCCAAGCCCGGGGCUUCGCGGUCCUGGGAGAAGGGACUUCUAGCCCUUCUCAGGUGUCUGUGUCCGGAGGGCCCGGUGAGCCAGGAAGGAGCUGGCCAGAGCCCAGGCGGCGGGACCCAGCAGAGUGGCCCAGCCACUGCCAACCACGCAGUCCCUUUAACCACGAAAACUUUCUCCCUCGAUUGGGGACCCCAGCAGACGCACAUUGGCUGCGCCGUGGGCAUCCGGACCCACCCUCUCUCCUUACCUACUGGCUGUCAUAUACAUCUAUCACAAGCCAAGGCUUCCUAAUGGCCCAAGUUCUUGUCAAUCAAGAGUGGGAGGAAAGCUGGGCGGAGCCAGGUCGGAGAGCUACACGCCAGCCUCCUUGCCCUCCCUGCCUCCGUGACUAGGCACCCGGAGGCUUCCCAGGGGACCGAAGCUGGGUGCGGAGCACCGGGGCGGAGCUGUGGGGGGCUCCAGGGACUCACCGAUGCGCUGUCCCACUGGAGAGCUGAACGGGUUCCCCAGGAGAAAGUCCAUUGCUGCUACCGCCGCUGCCACCAACCCCGGGAAUCAGCUGACAGCAACCGCCAGCGCCACCGACCCGUCACGUGACGCACUCGGAGGCCGGCGAGGAGGCGUGGGCGGGGCGGUGGCACCGCGAAGCUCGACCACAAGCCCCGCCCUGAGACGCCAGGGUCCCGCCCCCGAGGCGGAGGGCGAUGACCUCACUGCGGCUUGCUCGGCGGCGGCGGGCGUCACACACGAUGUAGGGUCUGGGGUCGGGGCCCGGGAAGCGCGGUCCUCUUUAAGCCACGCCCCUGACCUUUUAGGGCGAGGUCUAAAGGACCCUUUACACAUUUGGGAAACUGGGUCGUAGACCAGGGAAGUGACUUGGGUGAGUUACACAGAAGCCGAGACUCUUAGGGUCAUAGCCCUUAGUCCUUGGGACCUCACUGUGACUGCACACCUACCCUGGGUGACAGCCUCUCUGGGCUGUUGUCUCCUUGUCCCGGUAAGACUCUUCCUGUUUGAUGUCAAGGUCUCCCCGCUCCAAGAUGCACCCUGCUCGCAGCCCAAAUUAUCUUACCUUAAAUCAGAGGCAAGGGCAAGGGGUUUGUCAUCUGUUGAGACUGAGAGGCAAUUUAAUGAAUUGCAGCGCAAUUCCCUCUAGCGCCCAGGAUGGCAAAAAGCACAGAUGUAGUCACGAGUGGGGCUUUAAUACCCGUCUCUGCCAUAAAUUUACUGUGUGAGCCAAACAUAGCUCCCAUUUUCUCUAGAUACUGGAAUUAGAUCAAGGACUCGUAACCAUUUUUAAAAAAUAUUUUAUUUAGGUCACAGUCUCCUUUGAGAAUUUGACAAAAGCCAUGAGCCUUUCUGAAGAAAAAAGGCAGCGAUACAAUUUUGCUUAUAACCUCAGGGAGUUUCUGGGGUCCCUGAAGUACAACCGUGGACCCCAAGCUAAGAAUCUCAAAGGCCUUUCCCAGCGUUGUGAUUCUAAUCUCUUCAGCCUUCCUGGCUGUGUGUGGUGUGUCUGCUGACACCUACACACUAGAUACCUAUCUAUGGGUUAUGACCUUUUCUUCUGGCAUGUACUCCAAAAAUACAAUAACCAUGGCCUUAGUAGUCUGGCUACUGUGGGUGCUUAAGUACUUAUUGUGAUGUUUGUGGUUUUUAAAUCUGAAAGGCUAGUAAAUUGACUGCACAAAUUUUGGAUGACAGAAAACCUAAAUUAAGCAAGGUGUGGUGGCUCACGCCUGUAAUCCCAACAUUUUGGGAGGCUGAGGCAGGUGGAUCACCUGAGGUCAGGCAUUCAAAACAAGCCUAGCCAACAUGGUAAAAUGCCGUCUCUACUAAAAAUACAAAAAUUAGCCAGGUGUGGUGGUACACGCCUGUAGUCCCAGCUACUUGGGAGGCUGAGGCAUGAGAAUUGCUUGGACCCAGGGGGGCAGAGAUUGCAGUGAGCUGAGAUCGUGCCACUGCACUCCAGCCUGGGUGACAGAGUAAGGCUGUGUCUUAAAAAAAAAAACAAACCUAAAUUAGAACUUAAUCACCUCUGUAGAUUCACUUGUUUGAGCAGCCAUGGGGUCCGAUGUCUUUACUGUACAAUAUAAAAACUGCUUUGAAGUGUUUCCACAACACUCAUGAGACCUGUUCACAAAUGCCUUUGCCCCCACGAGUCUGGAUGUCCCUGGGGGCUGGGCUACUAUUUCUGUUUUGCUCCCCACUAUUGUCUAACCCAGUAACUAGCACAUGAAAGCUUAAAUAGAUCUACGUUUCAGUAAUGGUAUUUGGAGUAUAAGCGGGGAGAAGGCCAUUUAAGAUGA
rnacentral:lncRNA from 1 species